UACGGGGGGAGCAAGCGUUGUUCGGAUUUACUGGGCGUAAAGGGCGCGUAGGCGGCCUCUGCAAGUCGACUGUGAAAUCUCCGGGCUUAACCCGGAAAGGUCAGCCGAUACUGCAGGGCUAGAGUGCAGAAGGGGCAACUGGAAUUCUCGGUGUAGCGGUGAAAUGCGUAGAUAUCGGGAGGAACACCUGUGGCGAAAGCGGAUACCUGGAAGAUUCCUGACUCUGAAACACGAAAGCUAGGGGAGCAAACGGG
rnacentral:rRNA from 1 species